rnacentral:tRNA from 1 species
UAGUUUGUGGCUGAGUUGGUUAGUGCAUCUAGACUCCACCCAAAAGAUCCUGGGUUCGAAACCCAUGCACCCCAA